CAUGAAGCCGGAAUCGCUAGUAAUCGCAGAUCAGAAUGCUGCGGUGAAUACGUUCCCGGGUCUUGUACACACCGCCCGUCACACCAUGGGAGUCGAUAACGCCCGAAGUCAGUGACCCAACCGAGAGGAGGGAGCUGCCGAAGGCGGGAUGGAUAACCGGGGUGAAGUCGUAACAAGGUAAC
rnacentral:rRNA from 1 species